rnacentral:piRNA from 1 species
UGAGGUCCCACCAUGAGAAGCAGGA